GGUCCCAUGGCAGUGCUGCAGCGAUAGGUGCUGCUUAUAAGGGUGCGCUCUGCCUGCAUCAAGCCCCUGCAGACUGAGCAGAGGAAACUAGAGAGGUGUGAGCAGCAGGAGGACAUCCAGGUGCAGAGUACCUUUAGUCACUGUCAGGUGGACAGGAACCACGUCUCGUGGAAGAAUCACCCCAGCACACUGUUUAAGACCAUCAUAAAACAUUUGACAUCCUGUCUUUUUGGACUGAGUAGUGCUGCUGACCGCAUCUGGAAGGUGCUGAUGGAUGUUUCUGGAGCCAACAUUUGAGGUUUCAUCUACUUCUACUUCAAGACCACCUUAUAUGUUGCUGGUGCUUCAAAGGGAUGACAAUUCCAAAAAUCAUGCUGAUAGGAGGACCAAGCAAGAAACUAUCCACAGCAGGAAACUUGAUGAAAGGGGGAAGUUUUCUGCAACCAGAAAUAAACAAAAUCAGGUCAUUUGACCAAAACUCCUGUCCAGGUGCACUAUCAACAGCAGAACUGGGUUAAGGACUCCACUAUCAUGUCAGAGACGUCCGUUUUGACAAUGCUGUGCUGAGAGUUGAAGUAGACCAUGGAGAGCGGCCGGC